rnacentral:rRNA from 1 species
CAGUCGCCACGGUAAUACGAAGGGGGCUAGCGUUGUUCGGAAUUACUGGGCGUAAAGCGCACGCAGGCGGCUCGAUAAAUUAGAAGUGAAAGCCUUGGGCUUAACCUGAGAAUUGCUUUUAAGACUGUCGAGCUAGAAUCCAGAAGAGGGUAGUGGAAUUCCGAGUGUAGAGGUGAAAUUCGUAGAUAUUCGGAAGAACACCAGUGGCGAAGGCGACUACCUGGUCUGGCAUUGACGCUCAUGUGCGAAAGCGUGGGGAGCAAACAGGAUUAGAUACCCGUGUAGUCCCUGUCUCUUAUAA